rnacentral:tRNA from 1 species
GGGGGUGUAGCUCAGGGGUGCAGCACAUGCUUUGUAUGCUCGAGGCCCUGGGUUCAAUCUCAGUGCCCCCU